rnacentral:rRNA from 1 species
AAUAAGCGGAGGAAAAGAAACCNACAGGGAUUCCCUUAGUAACGGCGAGCGAAAAGGGAUGAGCCCAGCAUGUAAAUCUCCGGUUUCCGGCGAAUUGUAGUCUGGAGUAGCAACUCCUGGUGCCGUGCCGGCCCAAGCACCUUGGAAUAGAUCGCCUCAGAGGGUGAGAGCCCCGUAGGUCGGUACGAGCUCCUGCACGGAGUGCUCACGCAGAGUCGGGUUGUUUGGGAAUGCAGCCCCAAUUGGGUGGUAAACCCCAUCUAAGGCUAAAUACCUGUGGGAGACCGAUAGCAAAAAAGUACCUCGAGGGAACGAUGAAAAGACCGCUGGCAAGCGAGUGAAAGAGUGCAUGAAAUUGUAUAGUGGGAAGGGAUGGCCUGGCGWAUUGCCCGCGGGUAUACACUGCUCUUUGAGCUCUUGAAUACACCGUGGGCUGGCUGGUGCCGACACCUGCGCUUGCACAUCCCCAAACUAAGGUGUUUGGCUCUUCAAGCGCGGGUGUUGAGGUUGAUCGUCGCUUU